rnacentral:rRNA from 1 species
CCUACGGGAGACAGCAGUGGGGAAUAUUGCACAAUGGGCGCAAGCCUGAUGCAGCCAUGCCGCGUGUAUGAUGAAGGCCUUCGGGUUGUAAACUACUUUCAGCGGGGAGGAACGGAGUCAGUUUAAUACCUUUGCUAAUUGACGGUACCUGCAGAGGAAGCACCGGCUAACUCCGUGCCAGCAGCCGCGGUAAUACGGAGGGUGCAAGCGUUAAUCGGAAUUACUGGGCGUAAAGCGCACGUAGGCGGUUUGUUAAGUCAGAUGUGAAAUCCCCGGGCUCAACGUGGGAACUGCCUGUGAAACUGGCAAGCUGGAGGGUGGGAGAGGGUGGUGGAAUUGCAGGGGUAGGGGGGAAAUGCGGAGAUAUCUGGAGGAACACCAGGGGCGAAGGCGACCAUCUGGAACAAAACUGACGCUGAGGAGCGAAAGCGUGGGUAGCAAACAGGAAUAGAUACCCCAGUAGUC